rnacentral:misc_RNA from 1 species
GUUGACGAGCAAUAUAAUCGGCUUUGAUCGAGGAAAUAGACUGUAAAAGCUCAGGUAAAGGCAAUAGCUUAGCGACCUCACGAACGGAGGCUUCCUUCGCCUCAACGCCGAGAUCAUCAGCCAUCAUUUUCGCAACUAUUUACAAAUCUCACAGCUAAAUUCACUGAGAAAAUUUUGAAUGUUUGAAUUGAAAUUGAAGAUGGAGUAUAUAGGGAUCUCGAAGGAAAAGACCU